rnacentral:rRNA from 1 species
AUUGAACGCUGGCGGCAUGCCUUACACAUGCAAGUCGAACGGUAACAGGUCUUCGGAUGCUGACGAGUGGCGAACGGGUGAGUAAUACAUCGGAACGUGCCUAGUAGUGGGGGAUAACUACUCGAAAGAGUGGCUAAUACCGCAUGAGAUCUACGGAUGAAGGCAGGGGAUCGCAAGACCUUGUGCUACUAGAGCGGCCGAUGGCAGAUUAGGUAGUUGGUGGGAUAAAAGCUUACCAAGCCGACGAUCUGUAGCUGGUCUGGGAGGACGAUCAGCCACACUGGGACUGAGACACGGCCCAGACUCCUACGGGAGGCAGCAGUGGGGAAUUUUGGACAAUGGGCGCAAGCCUGAUCCAGCAAUGCCGCGUGCAGGAUGAAGGCCUUCGGGUUGUAAACUGCUUUUGUACGGAACGAGAAGCCCUGGGUUAAUACCCUGGGGUCAUGACGGUACCGUAAGAAUAAGCACCGGCUAACUACGUGCCAGCCGCCGCCGUAACAC